rnacentral:rRNA from 1 species
UACGUAGGGUGCGAGCGUUAAUCGGAAUUACUGGGUGUAAAGCGUGCGCAGGCGGCGCGUUAAGACAGGUGUGAAAGCCCCGAGCUUAACUUGGGAAUUGCGCUUGUGACUGGCGUGCUGGAGUGUGGCAGAGGGGGGUGGAAUUCCACGUGUAGCAGUGAAAUGCGUAGAGAUGUGGAGGAACACCGAUGGCGAAGGCAGCCCCCUGGGCUGAGAUUGACGCUCAGGCACGAAAGCGUGGGGAGCAAACAGG